ensembl:lincRNA A730036I17Rik RIKEN cDNA A730036I17 gene
GUAUUUUGUAGUUUAGUGUGAAGGACAAUAGACCUUUCAGGGUCCCAGAGAGAGCCUAUACUGUAUAAAGAACCACUGGAGAAUGUCCUCUGGUCUGAAAAUAUAUACCAAUUGACUUCUGGGUUGUCCUAGGAGUCUUUAUUAAAUUUAAUUUCUAUUAAAAUGUUUGGGGAGCCAGCUCUUGGGAAUACUAAUCAAUAUUAGUUGAACAGUCCCAUGAUGAAUCUUACAUGCACCUUAUUGAUCUGGAAUGAAGGUAAUUUUCUUUUACCUGACAUCUUGUCUGUCUCCUGGCAAGCUCUCCGUUGGCCUCCAUGUGUUCAACCUCACCAGCAUUUUGAGACUCAAGUCAGCAUGGGAGCAGAGAGCGGUCGGGAAGUCACACCAUCCUGAGGAGAAGAUUAAGGCACUGCAGAUAUUGAGAAAGCCACUUGAGGUCACAGUCUGCACAAGAGGGAACAUGUCACCCAGGGGUGGAGGAAGUACAAGGAGGCAUUCAACUGGCACACCAGUCCGAAGGCGACAAGGCGUUGGGUACCGCUCAGACGACUUCGUCCGAGCAUGCGUGUCCAUCACAUCACAGAAAGCAAAAGCUACAAGCAGAGAACUCCGUGUGUACUUUCAUAAUCCUUUCCAAAGAAAAGCCUGCAGCCUCAGGAGAUCUCGAGGCCACAAUGGAUACCGCGAAGGCUUCAGUGUGUGCGGAGAGAGAGGAGCAUCUACAUGAAAUUUGAGGUUGUGUGUAUCUGUGCAUGUUAGUACAGGUGUCAGUGGAGACCAGAAGAGCACACUGGAUCUCUUGGAGCAGGAGUUACAGAUGGUUGUGAACUUUAAAUUCAACUGAAGUCCUUUGGAAGAACAGAGCAUGCUCCUGGCUACCUAGCCAUCUUUCUACCCCUGAGACGAGUGCUUUCUUGAAAACAACUUCUACUGGACAUAAGGCCUCCUCUGUCAGUCCUCAAGAACCUGACCAGAGCUGCACCCCUGUGCCUGUCAUUAGGGAGCUUGCUUAGCAGCAGAGGAAUCCUAGUCCUUCACACCUCUGGUGUGAAGUCCUACUGUGCCAAGUGGGCUUCCUAGGAGCAGUUUCUAGCCAAGUCUCCAUAUGCUUGGUGGGCGGGUGUGGAAACCCGGGUAAGGCUUGGCAGGAGGUCUGCAGAGGGAGCUGUUACAACCCAAACAGUCACUGUGUGCACAAUGCUUCACUCACACGUCUCUUCCAUAUGCCUGGAACCAGUUACUGGAAACUGCAAGACUCUGUGCAACCCCUCAAAAUGACAGAGAAAGUGCCUGGGACUCACGGGACAACUUGGUCUAAUGUCUCCUAGGCAUCCUAAAAGCCACUGAGUAUUUAAAUUAUCAUACAGAGGGAAAUAUACCCAGGUCAGUCCUUCCACUAUUGGACUGAAAUAAAGAUUUUUGGUUGCCCGACUUCUUAGCAUUCAGGACUUGCUCUGGAUGUGACAACUCUCUUUCCUUCUGAUGAGUUUCCAGUCCAACGUCAGAUGCGGUCUGGAAGGAAGCAUUUCUCACAAGCCAAGUGUGAGGACACGUGCUCCGUGCGAGCCACAGCCUUUGGACUCCAUUCUGGACUUUGACUGCUGCGUGGAGUAAGGCUGGAACUAGAGAGAUGUCACUGUGCUGACUCACACUGCACAUGCUCCCAGACAGUGAGCGGGAUCCCCACUGAGGAGUGCAAGGCUCAAGCUGAUAGAACCUGGCCACUGGCUCUGCAGUGGAAGAGAAGGUAGCAAGGACAACCACAGGAGCCCCCCUCCCCAGUUCUUCGGGGUCUGCCUCUCUCUCCCCUCCCUGCUGUGGACCACCUCUGUUGCCUGCUGCCAAGGAGCCCUCCUGCCAGCCCAGCUUUCUUUGCUCCAUCCUCCAGAGCCCUAGAUUCCUGGGUCUCACCCACAGUAGAUGCUGGGCCAGAUUUUCCCUGCCUCUGUUGACUUCCGUCCCUGGGCACUCUGGGCAGCUACGUGUGAAUGGAUGAGUGUAAGAGAGAGGACCCAGGAGGCAAAGAGAGAAAUGAGCGUAUGAAGGGCCGAGUGCUUAGCUGAUGAACACUGAACUUCUGAGACUUAAAAUAUUCCAGAAUGUUCUCCCCUUCAGCUGGACGAUGUUACUAUAGGAUCUUUAGACCCUUUGAGAAAAUGAGAAUAUUCCUAUUGUGAACCU